CCACCAUCGACGACCCGCGAUAGCGGCAGUGGGAUUGCGAGCCAGAUCAUAAGGACGUCCCCUUCCUCCCGAUCUCAUCGUGCUCCUCUCGAGUGUAUUUGGUUCUGAUCGGCCGGCGACCCCAUGCCGUCCAUCAUGGUGAUCGGCCAGGUGCUGCUCCUCGACAUCCUCACCUUCGUCCUCGUCAUCGGCACCGAGCGCCGCCGGAGCACGGUGAGCCGCACCAUCUCCUGGCCAACUCGUUGAAUCUUGAUUGGGGAAACUGGGUGCAAGCUCAACUCGACGAGGCCGAGACUGGUGGCAUGCGGUACUGCGUGUACGACGCGGAUGCGUCCACCUGGUACGGCGUCGGCACGCUCGCCCUGCUGCUGGUCGGACAGACCAUCGCCAUGGUGGCCAGCCAGUGCUUCUGCUACGGCCGCGCGCUCUCCCCCGAUCGCUGGCGCUUCUUCUCCGGCCUCUUCUUCAUCCCCUGCUGGUAAGGAGGAGGAGAGGAGGGCGAGAUGGUGAAGCACAACAAUGUCAUCCCCAACGGCCACUUGAAGAAGCACUGGCAGAACUAUGUCAGGACGUGGUUCAACCAGCCCGUCCGCAAGUAGAGGCGCCGCAUCCUUCUCUUGCUUUUCUGCAGACCGCCCAUGGCGUGGACGGCGACGACAGCAGGAGGACGCUAGUUCUGGUCGGGAACAUGGCCUUAUCAUCCUCGAGGAGGAGGGACGCACCUAAGCACCGGCCCUGUUCGGCAACAAGGGGUCUGCUCCUCUGCUUCCAAGGCAACCAAGUUGCCCUGCCUGAGUUCAACGAGUCCAGCCCAGCCAUGACUAUGCACCGCUCCUAGUAGGAGGGGCUGGUUCUGCUGUUGGAUGUCGGCCUGUCGAUGCACCGGGCGCUGCAGGAGGUCGAGAAUGUCUGCACCACCCUCGUGCGCAAGAAGGCAAGCAACACGCUCUUUCCAUCCGAAAAUUUGUGAUUGACCCAACCCAAUACAAAUGCAAGCGUCUAUUAAUCUGCCUUUGCAUUUUUUGUACUCUACAGUAGUCCUGGCCAUCUCAGGCCCGGCCCUAUUGGCCCACCUAGGCCUGGCCCUAAAAUCCAGGGCCUAGGCCCGAUGGGCUUGCCCAUGGGCCAGGCUUGGGCCUGAGUUUUGAGCCCAUCAGUAGGGCCUGGACGGGCUUGGGCUUGGCAUAUUGUCAUUUUAAGGAAGAGGCCCGGCCCACGGCCCUAAGCCCUAAGGGCUUGUUAGGGCUUUUUACCAUAUGGGUCGGGCUUGGGCUUGAAAAGUAGGCCUAGUGAUAGGGCUUGGGAGGGCCUGGGCCUCAGUUUUCUGCCGUGGGCUUUUUUAGGCUCGGCCCAAGCCCAGCCCGGCCUGACCCAUGGCCAGAUAUACUCUACAGCUGGUUUUCCAUAGGAGCGACGAGGUUGGCGUUGUCCUGUUUGAAACUAAAGGACUGUUCCUGCAUUUGUGGUAACAAAACUUUGCGUGUACAUUGGGACUUCAAAUAUUGCGGGUCCAUCAUGUGACUAACUUCCUACGUAUUAGUUUUUUUCCUGUUAACUAGAAAACCUUUUCUUGUUUUCUUGUUCACUCUAGUAUAUAGUAGGUUUUAAUGUAUUGGUGAACUGAAUGUAACUUCUAUUUCUAGCGGCCUGUAUAUGUAUGAUCCUGAUUAAUGUCACUCCAAGGAAGCCUUACCGUACAUAUGUUUGCACUGAACAAGUGUAUUUAUGGUUCAGAAUGGAAAACAAUCAAACAAGUUAUUGUUUUCCUCCUUAGCAUGCAUCUAGUCUUUGGGGAAAUAUUUGUUCUGAAGUCAUUACUGCACUAUAUUUAGCUAUGCCAUCCCAGUGCUUGAGUCCUGAUAACAUGCAAGAACAGUAUCUGGGACUGGCUUGCAUUUAUGCUUCUUAAAAUUGAAAAUUUUGCUACUUAACUUUUUACUUGAUGUGACUAGCUUCCUACUUAUCAGUUUUUGCCUUGUUAAUAACUAGAAAACCUUUUCUUGUUAGUUUUCACUACAACAUGUAGGUUUUAAUGCAAUGGUGAAGUGAAUGUAACUUCUAUUUCCAGGGGCCUGUAUAUGUUUGGUCCUUAUUAAUGUCACUUCAGGGAAGCCUUACGGUACAUAUGUAUGCACUGAACUAAUGUACAUAUAUAAUUUCCUGGUAUAUGUGAACUACACAUUAGCUUACAUGCUUGUGUUUUCAGUUAUACAUGAUUAAGUAGACCAGCUUGACACAAGUACUACUUUAUUGUCUGUAUUGUGUUGAGGCAUGUUGCAUAGUAGGUUUCUCGUGUUGAUUUAUUCAUGUCUGUGUUUAAGAGCAGAAUUUAGAUGUUGGGUUUGGCAGGAGAGCGAGGGGGUGGUCACUAUCGGUGUCAAAACCGGCGGAUCUCGGGUAGGGGGUUCCGAACUGUGCGUCUAGGCGGAUGGUAAC